AGAUGUGAGGGCGAUCUGGCUGCGACAUCUGUCACCCCACUGAUCGCCAGGGUUGAGUCCACUGAUCUGGCUGGCUAGGCUGCUGUCCUCUAUAGCUCCCGUGUCU
ensembl:misc_RNA 7SK 7SK RNA